UACGUAGGGGGCAAGCGUUGUCCGGAUUUAUUGGGCGUAAAGAGCGUGUAGGCGGCCUGGUAGGUCGGUUGUGAAAACUGGAGGCUUAACCUUCAGACGUCGACCGAAACCACCUGGCUAGAGUCCGGAAGAGGAGAAUGGAAUUCCUGGUGUAGCGGUGAAAUGCGCAGAUAUCAGGAAGAACACCCGUGGCGAAAGCGGUUCUCUGGGACGGUACUGACGCUGAGACGCGAAAGCGUGGGGAGCGAACAGG
rnacentral:rRNA from 1 species